rnacentral:rRNA from 1 species
UACGGAGGGUGCAAGCGUUAUCCGGAUUCACUGGGUUUAAAGGGUGCGUAGGUGGGUUUGUAAGUCAGUGGUGAAAUCUCCGGGCUCAACCCGUAAAUUGCCAUUGAUACUACAAGUCUUGAAUUUUCCGGAGGUAAGCGGAAUAUGUCAUGUAGCGGUGAAGUGCUUAGAUAUGACAUAGAACACCAAUUGCGAAGGCAGCUUACUACAGGAACAUUGACACUGAGGCACGAAAGCGUGGGGAUCAAACAGG